UCCUUGAAAAUAUGCACCAUAUAAGUUUAUUUUCAUUGCUGCAAUGAUACAAUACGUUGAGACAAAGUGUGCGUGACCGAGAAAGUCAAGCACCUCGAUUUUGAGACAGGCCUAUGUUAUUAUGAUAAGCCUUUAUAACACUACGACUUUAUAACAUGAGCCACAUUUCUUCAUGGGCAGUAUAUUGGUUCGACCAAUUGGUUCAAACAGACCCCUGGAUAAAUUGUGUCAUCUACAUAUUUUCUACUUCAAUGCCUUUUCAUAAAUUAGUAAAACACACAGAAUAAUAAAUUAUCAUUUAGAUUUUGUUUUUGUCACACCGACGUCCUGUCUGUUAAUUAGGUGAAAUAAGUAGGCUAUAAAGCACGACCUGCAAACUGAAGAAACAGCCCACAUUGUCUACUGAAUUUGAAACAUUGCUAACCGAAUGUACGCCCAAAAAGGUAAAGAACCACUCUUGUAUCACACAUAACUACAAUGUGUCUAACAUUGAGACCUGAAAAACCGAAACAAAUGCUGCAUUUAGCAUAUUUAACUGUGACCAAUUAAUUAAUUAAUUCACUUACAUGAAUAUAAACUAUUUGGAACAAAAUACAGGUGUUUGUCUAAAUUAUAUAGAGAUUAUAAUACCCAUAAACAUGGAGUAUUCGGGAAAUGUAUUCGUGUUCAGUAACAGUGCUUACUCUUUAUGACUUCAGCCUUAAAUGUACCAGGGUGAAACUUGUAAAGGAGUAUAUUGCUGCACUUUAUGGUACCCGCACACGCCCUCUUGUAGACUCCUUGUUGAAAUCAGCAGGAUGCGUAUCUGUCAUCGAUUUAAUAUGUCUUAAUUCUGAGACGCCUUUGUAAUCGAUUUAUGAUAUUUGGGUUGGGUAUGGAAGUGCUUUGGCAAAGUUUACAGGAAUUGAAAAUUACCAUGAAUAGGUUGAAUGUUGAAUGUCCCCUCUGAAAAUCCAUUUGAAAAUCCAUUUACAGUUAUAACUACGGGCAUAGUGAAUAGAUAUAUUACUGAAGAUGGUCAAAAUGUUUGUAAUAGGCUAUUUUUCAUCCCAGAAAACAACUAAAUGCUAAUUUCAAAAAUGAUAUUGACAGUAUAUUUUUUAUUUAUGUACAAUUGACACCCUUCUUUUAAAGAUUAGUUGGUUAGCUGACUCCUGUGUCUAUCUUUUUGUCUCGGAAACUCCUCAAAUAAUUAUCCAUCAUAAUAUACUUCUAAUACAGACUCUUUGUGAUUAACCAUUUUAAGACAUGUCUGGGAUCAUAUCAUUUUUAUUAGUAUUAUUGAGUUUGUAGGCCUAUACAGGAUUUCUGCGCCUUGCACCUGUAGCUUAAACAGAAUAGGUGUCCUCUCUCUGGAUGCUUUCUAGUUGUUUUCAUCCCUUAAAAGCAUUUAAAAUUAAUGCCUAUUCCUACAAAGAAACAAGUGUAAUCAGUAUGCUGGUGCCUUCCCUAUAUGAGCUAGGCAUAGCCAUCCAUCUACCCCAUGUUCAUCAUUGUUGCAGUUCCUCACCAUGGUAAUAUCCAGUGGGAAAUUCAACCAGUUUCUACCCUUUGAGGAGAACGUAAAACAUUUUCUUCUUCGGCACCAUGUCUUAUGUUUAAUUACACGAUAGCCUACUUAAUCAACCAAUUAAGGUCUAGACCUAAUAAACAAAAUGUAGGUAAGUUAUGGAAUGACCCACAUCUCUGGCUAUGUGAUAACUAUUCACCAGUGCAUGCUGACAGAAUGACAAACAGUUCGAAAAAAAACGUGUAGCCAGUGAAGACUUCACAUUAAUGCCUCCUCACCAGAAAACUGAGACAGCUGAGAAGAACGGAAUGUUUCGAAAUCAUCGUUUUUCAUGUGUAUGUCUCCAGUCAACUCAACUGCUAAAAUCUGCUAUAUUUGAGAAUUACACAAUUUCCACUUUAAAAUGCUGUUUCUAAAAACUUUCUUUUGAGCAAAACGCCUUUGUUUUAACAGAGGUAUAUUUUACGCAACCAGUUCCAAGGGCAGCGUAUGUGGUCUUCCCGGGUCAGAGGUCAAACGUCCUUGAAACACUCAAGGUCAUUUGAGCUAACCAACAAUGCGAAAACAUAUGGAUGGUGUCAACUCUAUCCACAUAUAUAGAAAGGCCAGCUAUAUGCCCACUGGGUAAUGGGAAACCCUUGUUGUAUUUCUGUGACUUUAAUACAGACAGUAAGACGUUCACUCAGGAUAAAAAAUUGUGUAUCUGGCUAUUGGAAACAGCGUCAAUUUCACAAGUGUUUUUUUUCCCUGUCAAUUAAAUAACUCAGACUUCAGAAUCACCAAUGUCUAUAUGGCAAAUAUGUACUUCAACGCACCGUCUAUUAUUAUCCGUUCAGUUUUAUAUUUAAUCACUGGUAGUAAAGUAGGCUACUGUUAGUAAAACUUAUAAUAUUUUUAGUUUUGUUUCUCCAUGGUGCAAAUCAGAAUGUGUGUCUACCUCUACCCACAGGCCUAUUGUGGGCUAUUCGGGUUUUUUUCUUUUCUUUUUCUUUUUAAUUUCUUUUUUCUUCUUUGUCCAAAGUGGCGGGGGAAUGGUUUUUUGUGGUUUUCCACAGAAAUAAAGAACUUCUUAGAGGGGUCGGCAGACGCGACUUUGAACUUGGAUCAGCUCCUGUGUUCCUGUGGAGAGGGUAGAAAUAGUCUUGGAAGAAUGGUACACAACGUUCAAGCUGCAUGGCUUUGAGCAGAGCCAGACAGAAUUCCCAAGUUUUAUACGUCUUCCGCCCUAUUAUUCACUGCUCCGAAUGUUUGGAAGCAAAGGGAAGACGAAAGUAGCGUUGGUGUAUGUUGGGACGGCAAGCUUGUGAAACUCGAGUUCAAUGACAAUGUGGGCCUAUACUGUGGGGUUCUUGCUACUUGCCAUAGGCCUUACCCACCCACCAGGGCAACUAAUAAGAAGGCUGAUUGAGCCAGGAGAUCAGAAUACGACUCAUGAAGAGGUCAGUAUGCCAGUCCCAAAUAACAUGAGCCAAAUCUCAUGGCAUCCCACUGACGGCUGAAACAUUUUAAAACCUAACCAAUUUUGCGUGAGAUGCUCAGCCUUUCCGUCUCACACAUGCGUAGAUAUAUCAAACACAUCUAUGCUCCUGCUUACCCAAAAAUAACAGCAGUCAACCCCCAGCCCCCCCACGCCCCCUCCCACCUCCACCCCCUCAAAAAAACAGACACACAUCCUCUGUGCGUGGCGUCACAGCCCAGCAACAGCAGUCCAUCAUUUAAAAGCUAAGAGCAGCAGAAAGCAGCACAGCCGAGUGGGAAGGGAGCCCACUGCGAGAGGGAGGCAGGCAGGCAGCGGGAGAGGAGGCAGAGGCAGAGGCACUGGAGCUGGGGCUGGCCUCGCCUGGCUGCCUCACACACUCAAACACAACCACACACACACACACACACACACAC